UUAUGGAUGUUCCCGCUUUCUUCCUUAUCAGAAGCAGAGAAGGUUCUAGGAGAAAUAUCUAAUCAUAAAGUUCAGAUAUAUACUAAUUCUGCUCUGCUGCUCUUGAAUAUCUCAGAACUGUCAUUGAGAAGAAAAAAGUGGGUUGCAUCCGGAUUGAUGGAGGUACACCCGCUGCAUCAAGGCAACAAUUGGUUACAGAUUUCCAGGAAAAGGAUUAUAUCAAGGCAGCUGCACUAUGGUGGUAUUUUUGCUAUCCAUUAUAAAGCGGGAGGAGUUGAAUUAACUUUAACUGCUGCAAGCUCAGUUAUCUUUACAGAACAAUCCUGGACUCCAGGUGACCUAAUUCAGGCCAAAGAUCGUGCUCAUAGAAUUGGUCAGGUCUCAUCAGUAAAUAUAUACUAGUUGGCAAGCAGUCCUUCGCUGCUUGGUAUAGCAUUGACUUAACAUUUAUUAUGUAUUGAUGAUUAAAUUUUUACGCCUUAGGGAUGGUGCAAUUCAAACUGGAUAAUUUGGGGCAGAUGAGAUGCCCAUGAGAACACCUUAGCUGUGUCAAAUAAUCAGCCAUUGAGUAUCCCUGCAAAGCAUACUACUAUUGGGCAUAGGCCUUCAAAGCAGAGAACUCUUGACCAGUUUGUCAGAAGAUGUGAUAACGUGGAUAGGUCGGAAGUCGGAACAUCAUCCUGACCGGAAACGGCCCUCUCGGUCAUGACUUGUGAGAUAUGCAAAAUGGAUUUCCAUUUUCACAGAUACAUGGCCAGUGGCAAGUGAAUAGGAACUUAAAUGUUGACUACAUGCAGAAGUUUCCCUGUAGUAUUAACCAGAUGUGCUUACAUGGGGAAUUCACCUGUGAUGACACAAAUGCCGUUUUGAAGCUGAAAUCCAUUGUACAACAAAUAAUAGAUUGAGUAGAACUGGCUACACUAAACUAUGUUACUUGUACUGGAGAUAAUGGUUUGAAUAUGUGAAAUAUGUAUUGGAAGAAAAUGUUGAUAAAGUCACCCAUUAGAUUUUAGGUUUCCACUUCUUGUUCUUAACUUUUUGCUCCCCUAUGUUUUGUUUUAGUUUGGGGCUCUGUACAGAGUAUGACAUUAUCAUAUAUGAAUGAGAGUUGUAAAUUUCUUUACUCCA